CCUACGGGUGGCAGCAGUGAGGAAUAUUGGUCAAUGGGCGAGAGCCUGAACCAGCCAAGUCGCGUGAAGGAUGACGGCCCUACGGGUUGUAAACUUCUUUUGUCAGGGAGCAAUUGGGUCCACGCGUGGGCUUAGCGAGAGUACCUGAAGAAAAAGCAUCGGCUAACUACGUGCCAGCAGCCGCGGUAAUACGUAGGGGGCAAGCGUUAUCCGGAUUUACUGGGUGUAAAGGGAGCGUAGACGGUGCGCCAAGUCUGGAGUGAAAUGCCGCAGCUUAACUGCGGAACUGCUUUGGAAACUGGCGAACUAGAGUGCGGGAGGGGUAAGCGGAAUUCCUAGUGUAGCGGUGAAAUGCGUAGAUAUCACGAAGAACUCCGAUUGCGAAGGCAGUUCACUGGACUGCAACUGACACUGAGGCUCGAAAGUGUGGGUAUCAAACAGGAUUAGAUACCCGAGUAGUC
rnacentral:rRNA from 1 species